GUGGGUGUAGCUCAGUGGUAGAGUACUUGCCUCGCAUGCUUGAGGCACUGGGUUCAAUCCUCAGCACCACA
rnacentral:tRNA from 1 species